CCUACGGGUGGCAGCAGUGAGGAAUAUUGGUCAAUGGGCGCGAGCCUGAACCAGCCAAGCAGCGUGAAGGAUGACUGCCCUACGGGUUGUAAACUUCUUUUAUAAAGGAGUAAAGUGAGGCACGUGUGCUUUUUUGUAUGUACUUUAUGAAUAAGGAUCGGCUAACUCCGUGCCAGCAGCCGCGGUAAUACGGAGGAACCGGGCGUUGUCCGAAUUUAUUGGGUUUAAGGGGAGCGUAGACGGGUUGUUCAGUCAGUUGUGAAAGUUUGCGGCUCAACCGUAAAAUUGCAAUGGAUACUGGCAGACUUGAGUACAGUUGAGGUGGGCGGAAUUCGUGGUGUAGCGGUGAAAUGCUUAGAUAUCACGAAGAACUCCGAUUGCGAAGGCAGCUUACUAAACUGCCACUGACAUUGAUGCUCGAAAGUGUGGGUAUCAAACAGGAUUAGAUACCCUGGUAGUC
rnacentral:rRNA from 1 species